rnacentral:rRNA from 1 species
ACGAAGGGACCUAGCGUAGUUCGGAAUUACUGGGCUUAAAGAGCUCGUAGGUGGUUAAAAAAGUUGAUGGUGAAAUCCCAAGGCUCAACCUUGGAACUGCCAUCAAAACUUUUUAGCUAGAGUGUGAUAGAGGUAAGUGGAAUUUCUAGUGUAGAGGUGAAAUUCGUAGAUAUUAGAAAGAACACCAAAUGCGAAGGCAACUUACUGGGUCACUACUGACACUGAGGAGCGAAAGCAUGGGUAGCGAAGAGG